rnacentral:sRNA from 1 species
GUUGGGUAUGGUGGUGCAUGCCUGUAAUCCCAGUGGCUUGGGAGGCUGAGGCAAGAGGAUCCUGAGGUCAAAGCCAGCCUCAGCAACUUAGAGAGGUUCUAAGCAACUCAGUGAGACUCUGUCUCUA